UACGUAGGGUGCAAGCGUUGUCCGGAAUUAUUGGGCGUAAAGAGCUCGUAGGCGGUUUGUCGCGUCUGCUGUGAAACCGAGGCUCAACCUCGGGCCUGCAGUGGGUACGGGCAGACUAGAGUGCGGUAGGGGAGAUUGGAAUUCCUGGUGGUAGCGGUGAAAUGCGCAGAUAUCAGGAGGAACACCGAUGGCGAAGGCAGGUCUCUGGGCAUUAACUGACGCUGAGGAGCGAAAGCAUGGGGAGCGAACAGG
rnacentral:rRNA from 1 species